rnacentral:tRNA from 1 species
GUGGGUGUAGCUUAGUGGUAGAGCACAUGCUUGAUUUGUACAAGGUCCUGGGUUCAAUCCCCAGUGCUCCUG